AUUUUUUAAAAAAUGAUGAUAGGAGUCUCGUAAUCAAGAUCAAGAGUAUAGAUCUUGUUUUAAAUAGUUUAAAGAAUUUUCUAACAAAAAUUCAAUUGAUUUGGAUAUCUUUACACCGUUAAACGAGAAAACGUCUCUUAUCCACCAUUAAAAUUAUAAAUUUUGAAACCCUUUGAUCAUUAGGCAAUUGAUGUCGAAAAGAUUUGAAAUUUGAUUUCUAAACACUUUAAGUGGUAUAGAUCAUGUUCAACGGAGCCGAUCGUCAAUUUGGAAGCUCUAUCAUCGAAAACAACUCGAUAGUAAAAUGCCCCGUUUACUAUCGAGAGUAUUCUAGCUCAACUCUAUAUAUAUAUAUAUAUAUAUAUAUAUAAUAAAAAAGAUGGAGAUAUUUUUCACCUGCUCCUUAUUUAGUUCCCGGGAUGGGUGCAGAAUCUCCUGACCAAUCACGUGCAAGCGAGGCACGGCCGCACGGAAGGGCCCUGGGGUGGGAAAAAUUCUAGAAUGUAACGGGUAUAUUAGUGACGUGGCGUAACAAACCAAUCAAAUUAAUUCUUUUAAAAAUAUAUGUCCCAUCAUGAUUGUAAAAAAGUAUUUUUAUUGUACUUUUGUUUGAAAAGAAGGAAUUUGAUUGACUUGUUAUUGAUGACGUGGUGCAAGUGUGACAGUGUAGAAUUCCUCCUGGGGUGGGUCCCACC
rnacentral:lncRNA from 1 species